GACGAACGCUGGCGGCGUGCUUAACACAUGCAAGUCGAACGGAAAGGCCCUGCUUUUGUGGGGUGCUCGAGUGGCGAACGGGUGAGUAACACGUGAGUAACCUGCUCUUGACUUUGGGAUAACUUCAGGAAACUGGGGCUAAUGCCGGAUAGGAGCUCCUGCUGCAUGGUGGGGGUUGGAUAGUUUCGGCGGUUGGGGAUGGACUCGCGGCUUAUCAGCUUGUUGGUGGGGUAGUGGCUUACCAAGGCUUUGACGGGUAGCCGGCCUGAGAGGGUGACCGGCCACAUUGGGACUGAGAUACGGCCCAGACUCCUACGGGAGGCAGCAGUGGGGAAAAUUGCACAAUGGGCGGAAGCCUGAUGCAGCAACGCCGCGUGCGGGAUGACGGCCUUCGGGUGGUAAACCGCUUUCGCCUGUGACGAAGCGUGAGUGACGGUAAUGGGUAAAGAAGCACCGGCUAACUACGUG
rnacentral:rRNA from 1 species